AUUGAACGCUGGCGGCAUGCCUUACACAUGCAAGUCGAACGGUAACGCGGGGCAACCUGGCGACGAGUGGCGAACGGGUGAGUAAUGCAUCGGAACGUGCCCAGUAGUGGGGGAUAGCCCGGCGAAAGCCGGAUUAAUACCGCAUACGACCUACGGGUGAAAGCGGGGGACCGUAAGGCCUAGUGCUAUUGGAGCGGUCGAUGUCAGAUUAGGUUGUUGGUGGGGUAAAAGCGUACCAAGCCGACGAUCUGUAGCUGGUCUGAGAGGACGACCAGCCACACUGGGACUGAGACACGGCCCAGACUCCUACGGGAGGCAGCAGUGGGGAAUUUUGGACAAUGGGGGCAACCCUGAUCCAGCCAUGCCGCGUGCGGGAAGAAGGCCUUCGGGUUGUAAACCGCUUUUGUCAGGGAAGAAACGCUCUGGGCUAAUACCCCGGGGUAAUGACGGUACCUGAAGAAUAAGCACCGGCUAACUACGUGCCAGCAGCCGCCGUAACAC
rnacentral:rRNA from 1 species